GUAGGGAAUAUUGGACAAUGGGCGCAAGCCUGAUCCAGCCAUGCCGCGUGAGUGAAGAAGGCCUUCGGGUUGUAAAGCUCUUUCGGCCGGGAAGAAAUCGGCGACUCUAACAUAGUCGCUGGAUGACGGUACCGGACUAAGAAGCACCGGCUAACUACGUGCCAGCAGCCGCGGUAAUACGUAGGGUGCGAGCGUUAAUCGGAAUUACUGGGCGUAAAGCGUGCGCAGGCGGUUUUGUAAGACAGAUGUGAAAUCCCCGGGCUUAACCUGGGAACUGCGUUUGUGACUGGAAGGCUAGAGUACGGCAGAGGGGGGUGGAAUUCCUGGUGUAGCAGUGAAAUGCGUAGGUAUCAGGAGGAACACCGAUGGCGAAGGCAGCCCCCUGGGCCUGUACUGACGCUCAUGCACGAAAGCGUGGGGAGCAAACAGGAUUAGAAACCCUUGUAGUCC
rnacentral:rRNA from 1 species